rnacentral:misc_RNA from 1 species
GGAACUACGGGGCUUUGUUUGGUUUAAAUGGCUUAUUUCCUGAGACAAGCCAUGAGGCGACUCAUGAGAAAACUGGGUCAUUCAAUAGCAUUCGUUUGAGGCACUGUUCAAGAAAUGCAAUGAGCAGCAACAAAUUCCUAUAAUAAGGCAGCAUUAAAUUGUUUGUGAUAGACCACCAAAUUGAUUCUGACCGAUUAAGUUAUAGGCUUGCAAAUCACAAUUAAUUAAGGAUUGCUU